GUCCGCUUUUAACGUUUACGUGUAACCUCUCGUUUUCUUUUCUUUUUUCCCAAUGUUGUAUCACCGACGUGGAGAAUUUUACUGUAAAAAACGAUGUGAAGUUUUUUUAGUACAUACAUCACUUUUCUAUACCUAUACAUAUCGUGUACAGAACACAAUGCUAAUCACCGGAGUCCCUCUAGCUGGAAGUGAUUUUCAUGUGUCCAAUUCCCAGCUUUUUUGUAUGUGGAACGAUGGUUGAUUGGAGAUUGCCAUGGAUGAUUUAUUUGUUAGCCUUUUGGAUUCACCGAACUGGUUUGGGUGCACUGGCAAAAUUCAGUCUUAUUUUGGUUUAGUUUUAUUGACAUUAGGCUGCAGGAUUUAGUUGUUUAUUUAGUUUCUGUCCUACUCAUUUGGACUUCAUUUCCCUUUCAAAAAAAAUUUGGACUUCAUUGGAGUACAUGAUGGA
rnacentral:lncRNA from 1 species